rnacentral:rRNA from 1 species
CAAACGACUCUCGGCAAUGGAUAUCUCGGCUCUUGCAUCGAUGAAGAACGUAGUGAAAUGCGAUACUUGGUGUGAAUUGCAGAAUCUCGUGAACCAUUGAGUCUUUGAACGCAAGUUGUGCCCGAGGCCUUGUGGCCGAGGGCACGCCUGCUUGGGCGUCAUGGC